rnacentral:rRNA from 1 species
GACGAACGCUGGUGGCGUGCUUAACACAUGCAAGUCGAACGGGAUUUAGUAAACAGAAGCCUCGGUGGAAGAUUACUAAUGAGAGUGGCGAACGGGUGAGUAACGCGUGAGCAACCUGCCUAUGACAGUGGGAUAGCCUCGGGACACCGGGAUUAAUACCGCAUAAAAUCGUAGAAACACAUGUUUUAACGGUCAAAGAUUUAUCGGUCAUAGAUGGGCUCGCGUCUGAUUAGCUAGUUGGUGAGAUAACAGCCCACCAAGGCGACGAUCAGUAGCCGGUCUGAGAGGAUGAACGGACACAUUGGAACUGAGACACGGUCCAAACUCCUACGGGAGGCAGCAGUGGGGAAUAUUGCACAAUGGGGGAAACCCUGAUGCAGCGACGCCGCGUGAACGAAGAAGGUAUUCGUAUCGUAAAGUUCUGUCCUAUGGGAAGAUAAUGACAGUACCAUAGAAGAAAGCUCCGGCUAAAUACGUG